CUUCAACUAUAAAAGC
rnacentral:tRNA from 1 species